CCUUUACACAUUUAUAUAAGAACCUCUAAACCUCAUGCCCUGCCUAUGCAAGAGCAGAAGUACAAGAAGGGAGACUCAAACUCAAAGAGUUUCCAUUCUUGCACCAUCAUGUCCACCACCACCACCCAUAAUGACCUCCCACUACACACCCACAAGCGCUCCCGUCGAACGACCGCGAACCGCUUGUUUGCGGUGGUUCACUCGUGUGCCAUCCUAGCCCUUCUCUACCGCCAUGCACUCUCUCUCCUCCACUCCACAUCCCUCACCUCUUUCCUUAUCACCCUUACCUUCCUCAUCUCCGACUCUAUUCUGGCUUUCAUGUACAGCACCGCACAAUCUCCUCGUAUGACACCGAUUUACCGUAAAGAAUUCCCCGAAAACCUGAAAAGGGUUGUCAAAGAAUCGGAUUUCCCAGCGUUAGACAUGAUCAUAUGCACUGCUGAUCCUUUCAAAGAGCCACCAAUGAACGUGGUAAACACCGCCUUAUCGGUCAUGGCUUAUGAUUAUCCGACCGAUAAGGUUUCGGUGUAUGUUUCAGAUGAUGGGGGCUCGGCUCUCACUCUCUUUGCUUUCAUGGAGGCCGCCAGGUUUGCAAGCCACUGGUUACCUUUCUGCAGAGAGAACAGCAUAGUGGAACGCUGCCCUGAAGCUUACUUUGAAACUGAUCAUUCUCGGUUACCCGAAGCUGACAAGAUCAAGGUAAUUUUAUCAUAUUUCAAUUUUGCUUAAUUAUUAACUAUAAAUAUGUUUAUCUAAAUCAAUAUGUAUGGUAGUAAUAUCCUCUUAUCAAGUUUAUAUUGUCACAUAAAUAAGUAUAGUGCCGGAUUAUAUCGUGUGAUGAGAUAAGAUCAUAUAAUACUUAUGUUACUAGACUAUGAAUAUUGAUUGUUAUGACUUUUCUUGGUUAUACUGUAAUUAGGAUAUUACAUAAAAAGGAGUUUAUAUUUUUGCUCAGAUUGAAAAGGGGACCUUCUUAAUCUUUAGAAACGCCCCUACCAAAAUUGCUCAUGUAUUCAGUAACACAAAAGGUGACGUCGGCUGCAAUACUUAUUUGUCAUCUUGUUUGGGUUCCUAUCCUCUUCAUAAUGCAUGAGCCAAUGACGGCACAAACAGCCAACACCAAGUUGAAUGGGCAUCGCAUCACAUUCAGGACUGGCCUAAUUAACCCAGAUUAAGCUUUAUUAAUUAUGUUUUGUUCUGAAUCAUGGCACAGAUUAUGUACCAAGGCAUGAAAGGGAUGGUAAACAAUGUAAUUGAAAGAGGCAAAGUUGGCGACGAAUAUAUAACUGGAGAACGGGAAAGGCUAGCUUUUAGGAAAUGGACAGACGGAUUUACCCGACAAGAUCAUCCCACUAUUAUUCAGGUAUAUUUUUCUAUCCCGAUUGGUGGACCACUUUCUCUCGCUAUUACAAUCGACAUGAUAAGAGUUUGAUUCUUUCUUCCUUUCCUUUGAAUUUUAAACCAAAAAAAAAACUAAUCUCAAUUUUUACAUAUAUAAAUUCUACUUGGGACAAUAAUAAUCAUUCUUGUGACUCGUGAGGAACUAAUCACUAACAAUCUUGUAAAAGAAAAAAAAAAGGAACUAGAAAACCCAAUUAUGUCAUCUCCUAUUACAUAGUUUAAUGUGCUAUAGAUGUCGUGAUAUAUUGUCCUUUGACAAUUCAAAAUCAUCAACUAAUCAACCCUCGUAAUUCAAAAUUAUUCACAGUUUACUCACUAGUUAGCGUUUGAGAACUUUAUAAGCUUAUAUAUAUAUAUAUAUAUAUAUAUAUGUAUGUACUAAAAAGCAUAUAUGUACGUGGACAGGUUCUUUUGGACAAUAGCGAAGACAGAGACAUCGCAGACAAUUCAAUGCCAAACCUAAUAUACGUCUCUAGAGAGAAAAGCAGGACAUCACACCACAAUUUUAAAGCUGGUGCCCUUAAUGCUCUUGUAAGCUUCCAUACCUUUUCUUUUGGGCUCACGUAACCAUCUCAUUCUCAAAUAAUUAAUUAAUCAUCUUCAUUUCUUCACCAACUAAUUUAUAUUUUUCUGAUGGUGUGUUGUAACAAAAGCUUCGAGUCUCAGCCACCAUGACCAAUGCUCCAAUAGUCUUAACCCUAGACUGUGACAUGUUCUCCAAUGAUCCCCAAACACCUCAUCGUGCCCUCUGUUACUUCUUAGACCCCAAAAUUCAAUCUAAACUAGGGUAUGUGCAGUUUCCUCAACGCUUUCAUGGGAUCGACAAGAGCGACAUGUAUGCAUCUGAAAACAGGCAUUUGUUUGAAAUUAAUCCACAAGGAAUGGAUGGGGUUUUAGGGCCAAAUUAUGUAGGAACUGGGUGUUUUUUCUCAAGAAGAGUUUUCUUUGGCGGCCCAUCAAAGUUUUUACCACCCGGAAACCCCCAACUUGGUCCAAACAAUGUGGUGGACAAGCCCAUUCAGAGUCCAGAGGUUCUAGAAUUGGCACACCAUGUUGCAGCUUGCAACUAUGAGAAAAACUCCAAUUGGGGAUCAAAGGUACACUCUUUCUUUUUGAACGAGUUGUUAUUUCUGUUUCAAAAAAGUCAUCGUGUACUUAGAUUCUAAAACUGAUGAAUUAAGUUAUUAAAUUGCGUAGAUUGGCGUGAGAUAUGGUUCGCUGGUGGAGGACUACUUUACUGGUUAUCGUUUGCAGUGUGAGGGGUGGAAGUCUAUAUUUUGCAAUCCAGAUAAGCCAGCAUUUUCUGGGGAUUCCCCAAUCAACCUUAUUGAUGUUUUAAAUCAAACCAAGCGAUGGGCCAUAGGCCUUCUUGAGGUGUGUUUCUCUAGGUAUAGCCCAAUUACAUUUGGCAUAAAAGCCAUGGGCCUGCGCAUGGGCCUUGCUUAUUGUUAUGGAUUUUGGGCCAUUUGGUCAAUUCCAAUCACCACAUAUGCCUUCCUACCCCAACUAGCUCUUCUCAAUGGACUCACUAUAUUUCCAAAGGUAACCCUUUUCACAAUUUCACUUUCUAAAUAAUUAGUAAUUUAAUUUCCAUAAUCAAACAAUUUGAUAUAUCAUGUCGCAAUGUUAGAAUGUUAAUUUGACCUAAUUAAGAUUCAUAUUAACAUUUUGACAACAUCUCAUAAGUGUCUAAUGUAGUAAUCUAAAUAUACAAGGGUCGGACAAGAUGUGCACUAAGAUUGAAGUACUUAUUGCAGGUUUCAGAGCCAUGGUUUCUCUUAUAUGUGUUUGUUUUCAUCGGAGCCUACUUUGAAGAUCUUCUAGAUUUUCACUCAAUUGGAGUAACAUUCCAAAAGUGGUGGAGUGACCAAAGGAUGUGGCUGAUUAAGGGACUCUCAAGCUUCUUGUUUGGAUCCAUUGAGUUCUUCUUCAAGUCCUUUGGCAUUGCCACACUUGGGUUCAAUGUGACAAGCAAAGUCAUUGACGAGGACCAAAGCAAAAGGUACGAACAAGGAAGAAUGGAGUUUGGAGUCCCAUCACCUUUGUUUGUGCCCCUAACAACGGCUGCCGUUGUCAACUUGGCUGCCUUUGCUUGGGGGCAUGUAGAGGUUUUCAGAGGCAGCAAUGGCCUGGAGGGACUGUUGAUGCAGAUGUUCAUAGCUGGGUUUGGGAUAGCAAAUUGCAUGCCAAUUUAUGAAGGCAUAAUUAGGAGUGAUAAAGGAAAAAUUCCUACAAAAAUUACUUUAGUUUCAACAUUUAUAGCGUUUGCUCUUUAUGCAGCAGCUUAUGUUACUCUUAGGAACUGAACCCCAAAAACUGUGUUAAGAGAAAGCGAUUUCGAAUAAAACGUUGUUAGAGCCCCACAGUUUUUUUUAAUGAAUUUGGAGUCCCUAUGAGAGAUCCCAAUAGCUUGACGACAAAGCUGUGGACCAUUGUUUUGUUUAAUCAUUGGCCUCAAUGCUAAGUUUUCUAAGCUCCACUCAGUCUUCUUUGCAAAAGAUAGUUUAGUUAAUCUUAAUCGGACCACUUGGUCACCGCCAUUGUGUUAGGUUUCCUUUUAGGUAUUUUGGGAAACUUCUUUGUACAUUAAUAUAAAUAAUGAAAAACUUAAUGGG
rnacentral:lncRNA from 1 species